CCAACCCUCUUCCUCAUGAUGAUUCUCAAGAUCUGAUUCUUUUCAUUUUUCUCAAAAUUUUAAUUAGACAGACUGUGGGCAGAUCUCACUGUGUUUAUGAACAGUCAUCACAGGGGGAUUUUCUACUUUUAACAGGAGGCUAUUAAAGCUCUUCAAUCGAAACCUUUGAUCUCUUUUAUGGAGUUGAAGUUGUGGAGGCGGUGAAUACUGAUUUUUACAUGCUGGAUGAUGAGACAAAGUGGAAAGUGAUGCCUCCCAUGCCAAAACAGAACUCACACAUUGAAUUUGCUUGGAUGCUUGUGAACAAUCCUAUAGUUAUUGUUGGAGGCACAACAAAGAAGC